rfam:Felis catus isolate Cinnamon breed Abyssinian chromosome E2, whole genome shotgun sequence.
GCCUGAGUGGCUCAGUCAGUUGAGCAUCUGACUUCGGCUCAGGUCAUGAUCUCAUGGUUUGUGAGCUCGAGCCCCACGUCGGGCU